UAUAGUAAGAAAUUCUACACUGUGUAGUCACGAAUACAAUACUCAAAGUGACUACAACACAUUCAAAAGGAACAACACUCUUUUGAUUUUCACCUUACAAAAAUAUCUCGCACGCUCUAUUUUUCUUAUAUGGUCUAUGAAAUACCUCACUUUGCUCUCAAAUAUUUUUUUUCUAUCUAACUUGGCGUGUUCUACAAAUGAACAAAAAUGUUCUAUUUAUAGGAAGAGAAA
rnacentral:misc_RNA from 1 species